rnacentral:rRNA from 1 species
UACGUAGGGUGCAAGCGUUGUCCGGAAUUAUUGGGCGUAAAGAGCUCGUAGGCGGUCUGUCGCGUCGGCUGUGAAAACUCGGGGCUCAACCCCGAGCCUGCAGUCGAUACGGGCAGACUAGAGUGCGGUAGGGGAGACUGGAAUUCCUGGUGUAGCGGUGAAAUGCGCAGAUAUCAGGAGGAACACCGGUGGCGAAGGCGGGGCUCUGGGCAGUAACUGACGCUGAGGAGCGAAAGCGUGGGGAGCAAACAGG